CGAAGGGGCGUAGCGUUGUUCGGAAUUACUGGGCGUAAAGCGCACGUAGGCGGGUUUGUAAGUAGAGGGUGAAAUCCCAGGGCUCAACCCUGGAACUGCCUUCUAAACUGCAAGCCUGGAGGUCAGGAGAGGCGAGUGGAAUACCGAGUGUAGAGGUGAAAUUCGUAGAUAUUCGGUGGAACACCAGUGGCGAAGGCGACUCGCUGGACUGAUACUGACGCUGAGGUGCGAAAGCGUGGGGAGCAAACAGGAUU
rnacentral:rRNA from 1 species